rnacentral:tRNA from 1 species
GCACUGAUAGCUCAGUGGUAGAGUUCUUGUCUGCCACAUAAGUGACCUGGGUUUCAUCCCUGGCUAAGGUC